CGGGUGAGUAACACGUGGGUAACCUGCCUGUAAGACUGGGAUAACUCCGGGAAACCGGAGCUAAUACCGGAUAGUUCCUUGAACCGCAUGGUUCAAGGAUGAAAGACGGUUUCGGCUGUCACUUACAGAUGGACCCGCGGCGCAUUAGCUAGUUGGUGGGGUAAUGGCUCACCAAGGCGACGAUGCGUAGCCGACCUGAGAGGGUGAUCGGCCACACUGGGACUGAGACACGGCCCAGACUCCUACGGGAGGCAGCAGUAGGGAAUCUUCCGCAAUGGACGAAAGUCUGACGGAGCAACGCCGCGUGAGUGAUGAAGGUUUUCGGAUCGUAAAGCUCUGUUGUUAGGGAAGAACAAGUGCGAGAGUAACUGCUCGCACCUUGACGGUACCUAACCAGAAAGCCACGGCUAACUACGUGCCAGCAGCCGCGGUAAUACGUAGGUGGCAAGCGUUGUCCGGAAUUAUUGGGCGUAAAGGGCUCGCAGGCGGUUUCUUAAGUCUGAUGUGAAAGCCCCCGGCUCAACCGGGGAGGGUCAUUGGAAACUGGGAAACUUGAGUGCAGAAGAGGAGAGUGGAAUUCCACGUGUAGCGGUGAAAUGCGUAGAGAUGUGGAGGAACACCAGUGGCGAAGGCGACUCUCUGGUCUGUAACUGACGCUGAGGAGCGAAAGCGUGGGGAGCGAACAGGAUUAGAUACCCUGGUAGUCCA
rnacentral:rRNA from 1 species